AUUGAACGCUGGCGGCAGGCCUAACACAUGCAAGUCGAACGGUAACAGGAAACAGCUUGCUGUUUCGCUGACGAGUGGCGGACGGGUGAGGAAUGUCUGGGAAACUGCCUGAUGGCGGGGGAUAACUACUGGAAACGGUAGCUAAUACCGCAUAACGUCGCAAGACCAAAGAGGGGGAACCUCGGGCCUCUUGCCAUCGGAUGUGCCCAGAUGGGAUUAGCUUGUUGGUGGGGUAACGGCUCACCAAGGCGACGAUCCCUAGCUGGUCUGAGAGGAUGACCAGCCACACUGGAACGGAGACACGGUACAGACUCCUACGGGAGGCAGCAGUGGGGAAUAUUGCACAAGGGGCUCAAGCCUGAUGCAGCCAUGCCGCGUGUAUGAAGAAGGCCUUCGGGUUGGAAAGUACUUUCAGCGGGGAGGAAGGGAGUAAAGUUAAUACCUUUGCUCAUUGACGUUACCCGCAGAAGAAGCACCGGCUAACUCCGUG
rnacentral:rRNA from 1 species